rnacentral:rRNA from 1 species
GAUGAACGCUGGCGGCGUGCCUAAUACAUGCCAGUCGAGCGAACGGACGAGAAGCUUGCUUCUCUGAUGUUAGCGGCGGACGGGUGAGUAACACGUGGAUAACCUACCUAUAAGACUGGGAUAACUUCGGGAAACCGGAGCUAAUACCGGAUAAUAUUUUGAACCGCAUGGUUCAAAAGUGAAAGAAGGUCUUGCUGUCACUUCUAGAUGGAUCCGCGCUGCAUUAGCUAGUUGGUAAGGUAACGGCUUACCAAGGCAACGAUGCAUAGCCGACCUGAGAGGGUGAUCGGCCACACUGGAACUGAACCACGGUCCAGACUCCUACGGGAGGCAGCAGUAGGGAAUCUACCGCAAUGGGCGAAAGCCUGACGGGGCAACGCCGCGUGAGUGAUGAAGGUCUUCGGAUCGUAAAACUCUGUUAUUAGGGAAGAACAUAUGUGUAAGUAACUGUGCACAUCUUGACGGUACCUAAUCAGAAAGCCACGGCUAACUACGUG